rnacentral:rRNA from 1 species
GAUGAACGCUAGCGGCAGGCUUAACACAUGCAAGUCGAGGGGCAGCAUAAUGGAUAGCAAUAUCUAUGGUGGUGACCGGCGCACGGGUGCGUAACGCGUAUGAAACAUACCUUUAACAGGGGGAUAACACUGAGAAAUGGGUACUAAUAACACAUAAUACCAUAGAAGGCAUCUUUUAUGGGUGAAAAUUCCGAUGGUUAGAGAUGGGCAUGCGUUGUAUUAGCUAGUUGGUGGGGUAACGGCUCACCAAGGCGACGAUACAUAGGGGGACUGAGAGGUUAACCCCCGACACUGGUACUGAGUCACGGACCAGACUCCUACGAGAGGCAGCAGUGAGGAAUAUUAGUCAAUGGACGCAAGUCUUAACCAGCCAUGCCGCGUGCAGUAUGACGGCUCUAUGUGUUGUAAGCUGCUUUUGUACGAGGAUAAACGCAGAUCCGUGUAUCUGUCUGAAAGUAUCGGACGAAUAAGGUUCGGCUAACUCCGUG